rnacentral:rRNA from 1 species
AUGAACGCUGGCGGCGUGCCUAAUACAUGCAAGUCGAGCGCACAGACGAGGAGCUUGCUCCUCUGACGUUAGCGGCGGACGGGUGAGUAACACGUGGAUAACCUACCUAUAAGACUGGGAUAACUUCGGGAAACCGGAGCUAAUACCGGAUAAUAUAUUGAACCGCAUGGUUCAAUAGUGAAAGACGGUUUUGCUGUCACUUAUAGAUGGAUCCGCGCCGCAUUAGCUAGUUGGUAAGGUAACGGCUUACCAAGGCGACGAUGCGUAGCCGACCUGAGAGGGUGAUCGGCCACACUGGAACUGAGACACGGUCCAGACUCCUACGGGAGGCAGCAGUAGGGAAUCUUCCGCAAUGGGCGAAAGCCUGACGGAGCAACGCCGCGUGAGUGAUGAAGGUCUGCGGAUCGUAAAACUCUGUUAUUAGGGAAGAACAAAUGUGUAAGUAACUAUGCACGUCUUGACGGUACCUAAUCAGAAAGCCACGGCUAACUACGU